AAUCAACUUGCUUGGAACUCGGGAGAUGCCGAACGGGUGAUAACGCGUAAUAACCUGCCCUAAUGGGGGAUAACCCUGGGAAACCGGAGCUAAUACCGCAUGUGGUGGCGGGAGAUAUCCUGUCAUUAAAGCCUUAGGGCGCUUAAGGAGGGGCUUGCGUCCGAUUAGCUAGUUGGUAGGGUAAUGGCUUACCAAGGCAGUGAUCGGUACUGGUUUGAGAGGACGGUCAGCCACACUGGGAUUGAGAUACGGCCCAGACUCCUACGGGAGGCAGCAGCAAGGAAUUUUGUGCAAUGGGCGAAAGCCUGACACAGCGACGCCGCAUGGGGGAUGAAGGCUUUCGGGUUGUAAACCCCUUUUCUCAGGGAAGAAUAAUGACGGUACCUGAGGAAUAAGUCUCGGCUAACUACGUGCCAGCACCCGCGGUAAUACGUAGGAGGCAAGCGUUAUCCGGAUUUAUUGGGCGUAAAGAGGGCGUAGGCGGCUUUUCAAGUCGGAUGUAUCUCCCGGCUCAACUGGGAGGGAUCAUUCGAUACUGUUGAGCUAGAGGGCAGCAGAGGGAGGUGGAAUUCCCGGUGUAGUGGUGAUAUGCGUAGAUAUCGGGAGGAACACCAGUGGCGAGAGGCGGCCCUUCUGGGCUGUUCCUGACGCUGAGGCCCGAAAGCGUGGGUAGCGCAACAGGAUUAGAUACCCUUUAGUCCCGCGUGUAAACUAUGGAUACUAGGUAUGGGGAAGCCUUUCCGUCCGAAGUAACGC
rnacentral:rRNA from 1 species